rnacentral:tRNA from 2 species
GCGCCCGUAGCUCAACAGGAUAGAGCAUCUGCCUUCUAAGCAGAGGGUUGCCUGUUCGAUUCAGGCCGGGCGCGCUA